rnacentral:rRNA from 1 species
CCUACGGGAGGCAGCAGUGAGGAAUAUUGGUCAAUGGCCGCGAGGCUGAACCAGCCAAGUCGCGUGAGGGAAGAAUGCCCUAUGGAUUGUAAACCUCUUUUGUCAGGGAGCAAAGUCACCCACGUGUGGGUGUCUGAGAGUACCUUACGAAUAAGCAUCGGCUAACUCCGUGCCAGCAGCCGCGGUAAUACGGAGGAUGCGAGCGUUAUCCGGAUUUAUUGGGUUUAAAGGGUGCGUAGGCGGGUUAUCAAGUCAGCGGUAAAAUCGUGGAGCUCAACUCCAUCCAGCCGUUGAAACUGAUGGUCUUGAGUGGGCGAGAGGCAGGCGGAAUGCGUGGUGUAGCGGUGAAAUGCAUAGAUAUCACGCAGAACUCCGAUUGCGAAGGCAGCAUACCGGGGCCCGACUGACGCUGAGGCACGAAGGCGUGGGUAUCGAACAGGAUUAGAUACCCGUGUAGUC